GCGAGGUGAUGAUAGAAAUUCAUAUCAAGUCUGUCAAUCCGCUGAACUAUAGUGUGACGACUCCAUGAAUCCCGACAGGUUCUGAUCGC